rnacentral:rRNA from 1 species
UACGAAGGGGGCUAGCGUUGCUCGGAAUCACUGGGCGUAAAAGCGCACGUAGGCGGAUUGUUAAGUCAGGGGUGAAAUCCUCGGAGCUCAACGUGCCAGAAUGCCUUUGAAUACUGGCGAUCUCGAGUCCGGGAGGAGGUGAGUGGAACUGCGAGUGUAGAGGUGAAAUUCGUAGAUAUUCGCAAGAACACCAGUCGGCGAAGGCGGCUCACUGGCCCGGUACUGACGC